GAAAAGUUAAACUGCUUCCAUCGCUUCAACAUUUAUUACAAGACCCAUUAUCAUGGCAGUGAGACAACAUUUUUAGAAACCAUCUGGUUGAAAAUCUCCUUUGCUUUGUCCAAACUCCCAUGGUUAGAGUACAUUCUAUCAAUGCAGUUGAUAGGAAUGUGUUGGAUUCUAGAACACCUUUGCAGCCUUUAGAUUUCAAGUACUCAUGAACCCACCUUCCAGGC
rnacentral:misc_RNA from 1 species